CACAGAGGGCUUGUGAACUUAAAGAACCUUGAAUGAAACAUCGCUUUCAUUUACAAGAAGAGCAACAUUGGUCAUGAUUUAAGUAUCAGGUCACGUAAUCUGUUAUGUAUUUGCAAAGACUGAGGUGAUGGAGGUUUAAUGACUGCUUGAGAUUGUUUGAUUUUUAUACUUAAUCAUCUGUGGAGCUUUUUGAACUUUUCCCAUUUUUGCUUUCAUCAUCGUCUACAGACUCCAAAGGAAUUUUGCUGUUUUCAGUCAUGGAUGAUUUUGUUAAAAGAAAAUUAACUGAAUGGCGUCUCAGCGAUUGGAUAGAAAAUUUUCAAGAUCAAGGUAUUGAUGAGGAAAGUUUUUACCUUCUUGAUAAAGAUGACAUCAAAGACUUGAUCACGAAAGUUGGACCAAGGGCAAAAUUCAAGAAGAGACUCAAGUCUCUUAAGGGGGAGAAAAAUGCAACAAAUCAGGAACAUGAAGAAACUGCUGAUUCUGCUCAGGUUUUGGCCAACAGUAACACAAGAGAUAAAGGAAAAAGAAAGUCUGAGCCUCAGGGGGAGUCCAGCGGAUGUCUAUCACCAACUAAGAAACGACGACGGGACUCCACAUAUUCAGAAAAAGUCAUGCUGUCUAAAGUGAGAAACAUCAUGGCAUGUGUUCAUGACAAAAUACUACACGGAGAAAAAACAAAGCUCAAUGCUUUUCUAGCGGAAAGAAUCUGUGAUUUGGACACAGAAAAAAGGGAGCUGGUUGGUGUCUUUGGAAGAACAGGGGCUGGAAAAAGCUCUCUAAUAAAUGCUGUCGUCGGAGAGAAGGAUCUCUUGCCCUCAGGAAGUCUCAGUGCUUGUACAACAGUCAUCAUUAAGGUGGAGGCUAACAAGCAGAACCAGAACUAUGAGGCAGAGAUUGAAUUCAUCACAAAAGAGGAAUUGAAGCAGGAGUUGUGGUACUUGUUAACAUUCAUCCUGAAUGAUGAAGACUGCAAAGAGGAAGAUGCCGAUGAUUACAAUGACGCUGUUGAAAUGCUGUCAGCGCUGUAUGGAGAAGAAUGGAGAAAAAACCCUUCUGUGGAACAUCUCAUGAGCGACAAACAUUUCAGAGAAAUCCCAGAAUUUAUUGUUUCUAGGAAGAAAACCUUGACCUGUGGAUCAGCUAAAGAGCUGUCUGCAGAACUUGUCAAAUACACAAGAAGCAGCUCAAAGUACGGAAUGGCUAAAGGCAUAAAGAAAUGGUUUUGGCCCGUGGUGAAGUGUGUGACAAUCAGGGUGCCAAAUAAUGACCUUCUUCAGAAUGUCACACUUGUGGAUCUACCUGGAAAUGGGGACCGCAACAAAGGAAGAGAUAAAAUGUGGAAAGGGGUGGUUCAAAGUUGUUCCACUGUGUGGAUCGUGACGGACAUUAACAGAGCAGUAUCAGAGAAAGAGCCAUGGGAGAUUCUGAAAAGUGCCAGCAGCCUUAUUGGAAAUGGUGGCCAAUGUCAGCACAUUCACUUCAUCUGCACCAAGUCUGAUGUUAUCGAAGAUUCUGAUGAUUCUUCAGUAGCUGGUGUUCGUGCUGCCAUAUUUAAGAGGAACAUCAGAGCCAAGGAGGAAGUGAGGAGAGAAUUCAGGAAACUAAAGGGGGUUCAAACACAUUUCAGUGAUGACUGUUUCAAAGUGUUCACAGUGAGCUCCAAAGAGUUCCUUAAGGAAAAAAGACUAGGACCAGAUGAAACUGAAGUCCCCAAACUUCAGGAAUUUCUGCAAGAACUGAAUGACUUUCACUCAGAGACACUGAAGUAUGUGUCAGGAGCGUAUGGGAUUCUUUCUCUUAUUCAAGGGGCCAGCUGUGGAGACGUGGCUGGUGUAAAAGCAAAUGUGUGCAAAGACCUUGAAGAAAACUUGAAACGUGAAAAAAGUAAAGUCUUUGAGCCCAUGAAAAAGUCCUAUAGGGCUUUUAACAAGUGCCUCAUGGAGGGUGUUGAAAAAUCCAAUAGUUCAAGGGAGAGUGUCUUGAAGUCCUUCUUAUAUCCCAAAAGAAUAAAAGGAAGUGCUUUAUACGGGAGAUUGAAGUGCAUAGUCGCAAACAAUGGCGUCUACAAACCAAAAAAAGGGAAACAACAAAACCUAAAUGAGCGAUUAGCUUCAAAGCUGAUGGAGAGCAUUGAUGAGGAAUUUAGAAAGACUUUCCCAAAUGAAUCAAAAUGUGAACCAUUCAACGGGGCCAUCAGUUCCUUUUCACUCGUCACAGGGACUCUGGUUGAAAAGUACAAAAAGUACAAAGGUGUGCAGCUGCAACUGGAAUUUCUCAGGACAGAGGAAGAAAAAAUUAAGGCAAAACUCGACAAAACCAUCCGGGAGCGAAAGAAAGAAAUCUACAGCAGCCUGACGACUUCAAUCGAGGAAAACAUGCAGAAGUGCUAUGAAGAUGCACAACAAUGUAAAGGCAAAGGCUCCUUGAAUGCCAUGAGGGACAUCAUUGAGCAGCAUGUUCGUGCCAAGGUCGACAUGUUCGAGGAGGCUAAAACUGUGAUGAUGUUAAAUGUGGCAGAACUAGUGGAGGUCAUCCAGAAGAUACUGAUGGAAACACUUCUGAGGUCAAUGAACCUAUCACUCAAUACAGAUGAUCAAUCAGUUCCAGAUGUCAAAGAGGAGCUUGAGACCGUGACAAAAAAAUACAAAGCACUGAAGAAAAACACACAUGAAGGAACAUCACCAGUCAGUGCUGAUCAACCCGGCCCGUCAUCUGCACAGGUUUACCUGAUGCAGAGAAACAGCUGAGGCCUGUUUAACCACUGAGGAUCCCACAGGGAACAUUGAAAAGUCAAAUGAGGCUUCUGGAUAUCAAUCAAUCAGUCUUUAUUCAUAUAGCAUCUUUCAUACAAAUUCAAAGUGCUUUACAGCGACUGAAAAACAAGAAUAAACAUAAAAUAGUGACAAAACAGGGUAGAAAUAAAAAUGGAUUUAGGAGUAGAGAAGUAGAGACUAAUGCACACCAAUAGGAAUAAAAAAAAGUUAAGUUAAAACUGAAAAGAUUAACAAAAAUAUAGUUGAGAUAAUAAGAGGGUAAAGAUUGCCUUAUAGACAAUUAAAAUAAUUUUAAAAUGAAUAUGAAACCUCACAGGCAGCCUGUGUAAAGAUUUUAAAAUUGGUGUAUUGUGUGCUCUCCUUCGGGUCUUUGUUAGCACUCGUGCUGCCGCGUUUUGAAUUAACUGCAGCUGAUUUACUUUAUUCUUUGGUAGACCAGAAAUGAGAGCAUUACUUCUAGUUAUGAAAUCAGUAUUGCUCAGAGAGAGAAACUGCCUCACUUUGGAAAUGUUCUUUAAAUGAUAAAAUGCUGUUUUUGUGAUGGAGUGUACAUGUGGCUUUAAAUUAAAAUCAGAAUCAAAUAAAACACCUAGAUUUCUUGCUGCUUGGCUUGGGUUAAGUGCAUUUACUGAAGAAGCCAGUUUGUCUCUCUGAGCCUUUGAACCAAUAAAAAGUGCUUCUGUUUUGUCCUGGUUGAGCUGUAAAAAGUUGUGAGACAUCCAAGCUUUAAUAUCUAAAAUACAGUUAAAAAGAGAGACAAUUGGCCCAGUGUCAUCAGGAGACAUGUCCACAUAGAGAUCAGCUGCCUCAGGGUAGCACAUACACAGUAAUUUACUAUGGCAUGUAUGUCUUCAGAUACAGAAUGAAAAAUAGUUUUAAAAAGGCAGGUGUGAAUGGGAUCAAGUGACCAUGUGGAGGGUGUCAGUUCUGUUACUAUAUUCCUCAGUGUGUUAGCAUCAACCAGGUCAGAACAGUCAUACCUACCAUCACAAUGUGCAUGUUUUUCUGGCAGAUACCAGAACAAAUAUUUAUUAUUUUCUCCCUGAAGUAGCCAGCAAACUUUUGACAUUUAGAACCUGGAAGCUGAGCACUGUGAUUAACUGUGGGAUUGAAAAGUGAAUCAAUGGUACUGAUUUAGUCUCAACCUUUUUGUCAGGUUGUUAUUUCUGCUCUCUUUGAGUGGUGUGUUUAGAUGUUUGUUGUGAGUUUCAUACAUACAGAUGUCAUAUUAGUGACAGUUUUCCUUUUGAUUAAUCGUGGGCCUCAGGCCAGAAAUGGGUGAAGGUGGGGUCGGGGGGGAUGUUGUGCUUUUCAUGUUAAUCGUUUCUUUUUUGGGCCUUUUCGCCUUUAUUAGAUAGGACAGCUGAAGAGAGACAGGAAACGGGAGGAGAGAUGGGGGGAUGACAUGCAGCAAAGGGCCAAGGUCGGAUUCAAACCCACAGCUGCUGCUUAGGAAUGUAGCCUCCGUACAUGGGGCAUGACAUAACCGUUAGGCAAUCCAGCACCCCUUUCAUGUUUCUACCAUUUUUUCAGCUAGACAUCAACUUCUUUAAUAAUUCAGGUUUUUUUAUUCUUGAAUAUGUGUUUUUUUGUGAGUGUUUUUAUUUUAUGAAUUUAGAAGUGGAUGAUUUGAUGUACUCCCUGCAGUUUCACUGAUUAUUACUAUGUCUUAUUAAAUCUUGAACCCUAAUCAAAGAAUUAAGAUUUUAGGCAUUUCAAGGGCUGAUCUUGUUCUUUUGUGAUGAUUAAGGACAAGACUGUUUUUACUGGGAUACAAAACUUAAAUCUGUGAUGAUAUAUUAAGGGCGAAAUAGAAGUAAAUUUUAUUAUCAGACCAACUUUUCUGGCUUCCUGAUAUGAACUGUACGAUGUUUUUAAAAAUGUUUUUAAGUCUUCACUGAUUAUAAAUUAAUUAUAGCACAUCAUGCAAUAAAACUCCAUAAAAUGUCAA